rfam:Schistosoma mansoni, Puerto Rico, WGS project CABG01000000 data, contig: 0167
CUCCAGCUGACGAGUCCAAGAUAGAACGAAACGCGCGUCAAAAUGGAU